rnacentral:rRNA from 1 species
GAGUUUGAUCCUGGCUCAGAUUGAACGCUAGCGGCAGGCCUAACACAUGCAAGUCGAGCGGAUGACGGGAGCUUGCUCCUUGAUUCAGCGGCGGACGGGUGAGUAAUGCCUAGGAAUCUGCCUGGUAGUGGGGGGACAACGUUUCGAAAGGAACGCUAAUACCGCAUACGUCCUACGGGAGAAAGCAGGGGACCUUCGGGCCUUGCGCUAUCAGAUGAGCCUAGGUCGGAUUAGCUAGUUGGUGGGGUAAUGGCUCACCAAGGCGACGAUCCGUAACUGGUCUGAGAGGAUGAUCAGUCACACUGGAACUGAGACACGGUCCAGACUCCUACGGGAGGCAGCAGUGGGGAAUAUUGGACAAUGGGCGAAAGCCUGAUCCAGCCAUGCCGCGUGUGUGAAGAAGGUCUUCGGAUUGUAAAGCACUUUAAGUUGGGAGGAAGGGCAGUAAGUUAAUACCUUGCUGUUUUGACGUUACCGACAGAAUAAGCACCGGCUAACUCUGUGCCAGCCGCCG